GAUGAACGCUGGCGGCGUGCCUAAUACAUGCAAGUCGAGCGAACAGACGAGGAGCUUGCUCCUCUGACGUUAGCGGCGGGCGGGUGAGUAACACGUGGAUAACCUACCUAUAAGACUGGGAUAACUUCGGGAAACCGGAGCUAAUACCGGAUAAUAUAUUGAACCGCAUGGUUCAAUAGUGAAAGACGGUUUUGCUGUCACUUAUAGAUGGAUCCGCGCCGCAUUAGCUAGUUGGUAAGGUAACGGCUUACCAAGGCAACGAUGCGUAGCCGACCUGAGAGGCUGAUCGGCCACACUGGAACUGAGACACGGUCCAGACUCCUACGGGAGGCAGCAGUAGGGAAUCUUCCGCAAUGGGCGAAAGCCUGACGGAGCAACGCCGCGUGAGUGAUGAAGGUCUUCGGAUCGUAAAACUCUGUUAUUAGGGAAGAACAAAUGUGUAAGUAACUAUGCACGUCUUGACGGUACCUAAUCAGAAAGCCACGGCUAACUACGUG
rnacentral:rRNA from 1 species